GCCCAGACUCCUACGGGAGGCAGCAGUGGGGAAUAUUGCACAAUGGGGGGAACCCUGAUGCAGCGACGCCGCGUGGGUGAAGAAGUCAUUCGUGACGUAAAGCCCUAUCAGCAGGGAAGAAAAUGACGGUACCUGACUAAGAAGCCCCGGCUAACUACGUGCCAGCAGCCGCGGUAAUACGUAGGGGGCAAGCGUUAUCCGGAUUUACUGGGUGUAAAGGGAGCGUAGACGGAAAGGCAAGUCAGAAGUGAAAACCCAAGGCUCAACCAUGGGACUGCUUUUGAAACUGUCAAACUAGAGUACGGGAGAGGUAAGAGGAAUUCCUAGUGUAGCGGUGAAAUGCGUAGAUAUUAGGAGGAACACCAGUGGCGAAGGCGUCUUACUGGACCGAAACUGACGUUGAGGCUCGAAAGCGUGGGGAGCAAACAGGAUUAGAUACCCGCGUAAU
rnacentral:rRNA from 1 species